ACGGGUGAGUAUAAUGUGGGAAUCUGCCUUUUGGUUUGGAAUAACACGGGGAAACUUGUGCUAAUACCGAAUAAGCCCUUACGGGGAAAGUUUUAACGCCGAAAGAUGAGCCCGCACUUGAUUAGCUAGUUGGUAAGGUAAAAGCUUACCAAGGCAACGAUCAAUAGCUGUUCUUAGAGGAAGACCAGCCACAUUGGGACUGAGACACGGCCCAGACUCCUACGGGAGGCAGCAGUGGGGAAUCUUGCACAAUGGGGGAAACCCUGAUGCAGCGAUGCCGCGUGAGUGAAGAAGGCCUUUGGGUUGUAAAACUCUUUCGUCGGGGAAGAAAAUGACUGUACCCGAAUAAGAAGGUCCGGCUAACUUCGUGCCAGCAGCCGCGGUAAUACGAAGGGACCUAGCGUAGUUCGGAAUUACUGGGCUUAAAGAGCUCGUAGGUGGUUAAAAAAGUUGAUGGUGAAAUCCCAAGGCUCAACCUUGGAACUGCCAU
rnacentral:rRNA from 1 species